AGUGAACGCUGGCGGUAGGCCUAACACAUGCAAGUCGAACGGCAGCACAGUAAGAGCUUGCUCUUACGGGUGGCGAGUGGCGGACGGGUGAGGAAUACAUCGGAAUCUACUUUUUCGUGGGGGAUAACGUAGGUAAACUUACGCUAAUACCGCAUACGACCUACGGGUGAAAGCAGGGGAUCUUCGGACCUUGCGCGAUUGAAUGAGCCGAUGUCGGAUUAGCUAGUUGGCGGGGUAAAGGCCCACCAAGGCGACGAUCCGUAGCUGGUCUGAGAGGAUGAUAGGCCACACUGGAACUGAGACACGGUCCAGACUCCUACGGGAGGCAGCAGUGGGGAAUAUUGGACAAUGGGCGAAAGCCUGAUCCAGCCAUACCGCGUGGGUGAAGAAGGCCUUCGGGUUGUAAAGCCCUUUUGUUGGGAAAGAAAAGCAGCAGGUUAAUACCCCGCUGUUCUGACGGUACCCAAAGAAUAAGCACCGGCUAACUUCGUG
rnacentral:rRNA from 1 species